GACGAACGCUGGCGGCGUGCUUAACACAUGCAAGUCGAGCGGUAAGGCCCUUUCGGGGGUACACGAGCGGCGAACGGGUGAGUAACACGUGGGUGACCUGCCCUCAGCUCUGGGAUAAGCCCGGGAAACUGGGUCUAAUACUGGAUAUUACUCUGCGGUGCAUGCCGUGGGGUGGAAAGCCUUGUGCGGCUGGGGACGGGCCCGCGGCCUAUCAGCUUGUUGGUGGGGUGAUGGCCUACCAAGGCGACGACGGGUAGCCGGCCUGAGAGGGCGACCGGCCACACUGGGACUGAGACACGGCCCAGACUUCUACGGGAGGCAGCAGUGGGGAAUCUUGCGCAAUGGGCGAAAGCCUGACGCAGCGACGCCGCGUGAGGGAUGAC
rnacentral:rRNA from 1 species